UUCGCCGGGAAACAGGAUUGGACAAAAAGUCGCGAGGGUCCCGCCCCGCACUUACCGGGGAACGGGAUUGGACGGACAGCUGCAAGGCUCCCGCCCCGUGCCUGAGGUCUGGGUCGGGCCGGGCCUGAGCGGAAGUGGGAUCCGACCCUGCCUCUAGUGGGCGUAUUGGGUCCCGGCUCUAUUUUGGACUGCUGGCCUGGGAAAGGCUCCUCGAGUGCCAAAUGAGCGGUCCUAACUCUGCGGGGCUGCAGCUUCCUGCAUGAUGCUGGGGAACUUGGCGGCUGACCCAGGAUAUAGAAGGCACUCUGAGCAGGCCGCGCUCCGCCCACGAAGGUACCCAACCCUCUGGGAUAGAUGCAGGAACCGAUGGCUAGGACCCAUUUUCUCCCAACUUCUCGCCCCAGCUCUGGCUUACCACACGCUCCUCCCCAUUCCCAGUGAGCCGCUUUUUGCAGCACCAGGCAAACACUUACACAAGUUCUUUGUAAAGGAAUCUUAUUGUCCACCCCGUGUCUUGGCAAAAGAACAGUGAUCACACGGAUUCCUACUUGGGUUCUUUCCUUUCAUCUUCGGAGGCAGAGUUUGCCCAACUCAGAUAAACUGCCAAGGAGAAGAGUGAGAAGACAGGAGACAAACUGUUUGGAAAGCUAAAUCUUCCCUCUUAAUGAGUAAAGGUUUUUGCCUUGUC